rnacentral:misc_RNA from 2 species
AAACCCUCAACCCUAGAUUGGUUAAAACCUUUCUUUGGUUUGGAUUUGGACGUUUGCCGAUGAUAAGUCGGCUCGUCUUAAAAGUAAUAGCUGGAUCUGUCUCGCGACAUGGUUUGACUUGGCGUAAUAAGUAUUUCGCUAAGGACAUCUUCGGAUGGCCGCGUUGCAGGACUAAAGACCGCUUUCUAAUCCAUUGAUCUUACGAUUAAUAUUCUUGAC